GGAGUCAUGAGAUUUGGAAAGAAGGGCAAGUUGGCACCUCGGUAUAUUGGACCUUUUGAGGUUACGGAUAGAGUUGGAGCAGUUGCCUACCGGUUGGAGCUACCACCCAACCUUUCUCACGUUCAUCCCGUGUUUCACAUCUCCAUGCUCAGGAAAUACAUUCCCGAUCCUUCUCAUGUAUUGCAGCCGGAUGUGAUAGAGCUAAAAGAGAACUUGACAUUUGAGGAGCAGCCUGUAGCCAUAGUGGACUACCAAGUGAGACAGCUGAGAUCAAAACAGAUCCCUAUGGUUAAGGUUUUGUGGAGGAGUCAGUCAGUGGAAGAGUGCACCUGGGAGUCAGAACGGGACAUGCGUAGCAAGUACCCUUAUCUGUUCAAUGUGUAAUAAUGUACUUUAUUCUGCCUUGUAUAAAAUUCGAGGACGAAUUUUCUGUAAGGGGGGAAGAAUGUAACACCCCUGAUUUUUUUAUAUAUUAUUAUUGGGUUUCGUGUAGGUAUCCUCAAUUCGCGGAAAUUCGACAGUUGUCCGGAUCUGUGAAUUUCCGGCCAGACAGACCAGCUACCGGAAAAGUCUCCGAAUUGGAUCGAGGUUUUGGCUACCCCACCAUUGUCAGGCAUCCCGAGCGCAUUCCCGAAGUCGGAAUCGGCAAAGGUGAGCCGGGACAGCCUUCUUCCUCCGCCCAGCCGCCACAGUGAUUGCCGUCAAGUCUGCUACAGGAGGAUUUUAUUGUGGUUAACCUGCUUUUCUCCUUCGCAGGUUGUUUAUCAAUAGUUUUGUAAUUUUAUUUACUCCUAGAAUUUCCGCAUGUGUUAGAAAUAUUUAAAUGAUUCGGGUCUGUAAUAUAAAAUGUCAUGUGGACCUGUAAAAUUAUAUGCAUGUUUGAUGGAUUGGAUGAGGGAGCUGAGCUCCCUUUUAUUUUUAUGCCGAUAUGAGUAUGUGGAGGGUGAGCUGAGCUCCCCAAUUAAUGAUAUAUUUUGUUUACAGGUCGGGUGAGUCAAAAACUCCCCGUUGAAAGGUCCACUUUAUGGCCGGACUCUGUCCGGUUGGUUUCUUGAAAUUGGGCCCAAAUGGGCCUUAGAGUUGGGUUAAUGAACAGUUAGGCUUAUUACGGGCCUCGGGGGCUUUAGGCUGGCCGAGGUCCUAGUGCCGGUCCGGCCCAUAGGUUGGGUCGUGACAAUUAUUAAAGAGAUCAUUAAAAUAAUUUCUCCAUCUUUCUUUAAUGUCCUCAUCUUUCACCAACACUUUUCCUUUUUUAUCCUUAAUGCACCUAACUUGAUUGAGAUCUUGACAUUUCCUUUCUCUCCUCCUUGCUAAUCUAUAAAUAUAUUGCUCCCCUUUUUUAGUUCCAAGUUUCUUAUAUAACUUUUCAAAGGCCUGCGCCCUUGUUUGACUAACUGCCUUUUUUACCUCUUUCUUUGCUAUCUUGUACUGUUCAUAUGCCUCAUUAUUAUCACAUUUAAAUAAUUUCUUAUACCAUUCCCUUUUUCUCUUCACUGCGUUUUGUACUUUUUCAUUCUACCACUAUCUCUCUUUUGAGGGUGGUCUAUAUCCUUUAGACUCUCCAAAUACUUUUCUAGCUACUUCUCUAAAUAAUAAAAACAGUGAUACAAAAUAAUAUUACAAAUUAAGAUUAUAAUAUAGAAACAAUAAAAAUAUUAAUAAACAAUUUAAAAUUAAACCUAGUAUUUAAAAAAAUGAUAGCAUUAUUUAUUUUAAUUAUAUUCAAAAAAAUUAAGAUAAAAUUAAAAUAAUAAAAAUUCAAACAAAAGAAUUUUAUUUAAA